rnacentral:rRNA from 1 species
GAGUUUGAUCCUGGCUCACAACGAACGCUGGCGGCAGGCCUAACACAUGCAAGUCGAGCGAACCUUCGGGUUAGCGGCGGACGGGUUAGUAACGCGUGGGAAUGUACCCUUCACUGCGGAAUAGCCACUGGAAACGGUGAGUAAUACCGCAUACGCCCUUCGGGGGAAAGAUUUAUCAGUGAAGGAUCAGCCCGCGUCUGAUUAGAUAGUUGGUGGGGUAACGGCCUACCAAGUCGACGAUCAGUAGCUGGUUUUAGAGGAUGACCAGGCAACACUGGGACCUGAGACACGGCCCAGACUCCUACGGGAGGCAGUCAUUGGGGAAUCUUAGACAAUGGGCGCAAGCCUGAUUCUAGCCAUGCCGCGUGAGUGAUGAAGGCCUUAGGGUCGUAAAGCUCUUUCGCCAGGGAUGAUAAUGACAAGUACCUGGUAAAGAAACCCCGGGCUAACUCUGUGCCAGCAGCCGCGGUAAUACGGAGGGGAUUAGCGUUGUUCGGAAUUACUGGGCGUAAAGCGCACGUAGGCCGGACUAUUAAGUCAGGGGUGAAAUCCCGGGGCUCAACCCCCGGAACUGCCUUUGAUACUGGUAGUCUUGAGUUCGAGAGAGGUGAGUGGAAUUCCGAGUGUAGAGGUGAAAUUCGUAGAUAUUCGGAGGAACACCAGUGGCGAAGGCGGCUCACUGGCUCGAUACUGACGCUGAGGUGCGAAAGUGUGGGGGAGCAAACAGGAUUAGAUACCCUGGUAGUCCACACCGUAAACGAUGAAUGCCAGUCGUCGGGUAGCAUGCUAUUCGGUGACACACCUAGCGGAUUAAGCAUUCCGCCUGGGGAGUACGGUCGCAAGAUUAAAACUCAAAGGAACUGACGGGGGCCCGCACAAGCGGUGGAGCAUGUGGUUUAAUUCGAAGCAACGCGCAGAACCUUACCAACCCUUGACAUCCCUGUGCCACUCCGAGAGAAUCGGACGGUCCCCUUCGGGACGCAGUGACCAGGUGCUUGCAUGGCCUGUCGUCAGCCUCCGUGUCCUGGAGAUGUUCGGUUAAGUCCCGCCAACGAGUCGCUCACAACCCACACCCUUAAGUUGCCAGCAUUCAGUUGGGCACUUCUUAGGGGGAACUGCCCUGUGAUACCGGGGAGGAAGGCUUGUAUGACGCUCAGGUCCCCUCGAGGCCCUUACGGGUUGGGCUACACACGUGCUACAAUGGCAACUACAGUGGGUUAAUCCCCAAAAGUUGUCUCAGUUCGGAUUGUUCUCUGCAACUCGAGAGCAUGAAGUCGGAAUCGCUAGUAAUCGCGUAACAGCAUGACGCGGUGAAUACGUUCCCGGGCCUUGUACACACCGCCCGUCACAUCAUGGGAGUUGGGUUUACCCGAAGACGGUGCGCCAACCUUAGGGGGGCAGCUGGCCACGGUAGGCUCAGCGACUGGGAUGAAGUCGUAACAAGGUAGCCGU